GGCGAGUGGCGAACGGGUGAGUAAUACAUCGGAACGUGCCCUGUAGUGGGGGAUAACUAGUCGAAAGAUUAGCUAAUACCGCAUACGACCUGAGGGUGAAAGUGGGGGACCGCAAGGCCUCAUGCUAUAGGAGCGGCCGAUGUCUGAUUAGCUAGUUGGUGAGGUAAAGGCUCACCAAGGCGACGAUCAGUAGCUGGUCUGAGAGGACGAUCAGCCACACUGGGACUGAGACACGGCCCAGACUCCUACGGGAGGCAGCAGUGGGGAAUUUUGGACAAUGGGCGAAAGCCUGAUCCAGCAAUGCCGCGUGUGUGAAGAAGGCCUUCGGGUUGUAAAGCACUUUCGUCCGGAAAGAAAUGGCUCUGGUUAAUACCUGGGGUCGAUGACGGUACCGGAAGAAUAAGGACCGGCUAACUACGUGCCAGCAGCCGCGGUAAUACGUAGGGUCCAAGCGUUAAUCGGAAUUACUGGGCGUAAAGCGUGCGCAGGCGGUUGUGCAAGACCGAUGUGAAAUCCCCGAGCUUAACUUGGGAAUUGCAUUGGUGACUGCACGGCUAGAGUGUGUCAGAGGGGGGUAGAAUUCCACGUGUAGCAGUGAAAUGCGUAGAGAUGUGGAGGAAUACCGAUGGCGAAGGCAGCCCCCUGGGAUAACACUGACGCUCAUGCACGA
rnacentral:rRNA from 1 species